UGGAUAUUAGUUAAAUAUUAUAACAUUUAAAUUGCAUUUAAAAAUUUAAUUAAUUAAAUUAAUAUCUAA
rnacentral:tRNA from 1 species